UGCUCACCGGUACACUACAGAAGAUAACUUAUCCCCCUUCCUUCCCUCCUAAUACUAAAUCUCUUAAAAACCCUACAAAACUCAGAAGAAGAAACCCUAAACUCAGAAUAAAAUUGGUCAAAACUUGGGUUUCUUUUCUCACUUCGCUUAUAAAUCUAACCGGUAGAUUCUUAUGCGUAUCUUUCCUCACUUUACUUAUAAAUCCAAACUUUGAGUUUUAUCGUAUGUUAGCUGAUACUUAUCAGGGUUUCGAAUGACUUUUAAUACUCUUUAGCACUCACGCCUGGGUGGGAUGAGAACCUUACGUCUCAUCUAACACCCUAAUAUCUCUUUCGUUCUUCCAUUCCAUAUCCUAAAACCCUAAUAAUCCUAUUCCUAAUUCUCUCCAGGGAAAAGAUCACCGAGAGUCGAAGGACGUCAUACCUAACUUUUUUUCAAUUGCAUUUCACAGAUAUAGAAGUCAUCUGAGUUUUAAGAAAAAAAAUAUUGAGGACUUGCGCUUUGAGGAGCGCAUUAGUUUAUCAAAACUGGAAAAGGUAUGGGACCAAAAUUUUCCUUGAUAAUAUGUUUUCUUGCUAAUGAUCUAUGAAGGGCAAUUGUCGAUAGCCAAGGAGGUAUCACGACAGGGUACAGUACUCAUUACAAAAUAUAUGGCACGCUGUAGAGUCCGACUAAUUAAAUUAGGGACAAAUUCAGUUGUCUGCGUAUGCCAAACUCCAUGGAAAGAUCCUAUAGCUUAUGAGCAUGCGUAUCAUUUGAGUUAACCUGCCAAUCAAAUGUGACGAUAAACUAAUGAAGUGAUUGACCCAUUUUAUUUUAUACGCGUCCCUCCCUGUCUAUGUAUAUAAACAAGUGAUUGACCCAUUUUCUACUUCUUAUGUUGUUUAUAUUCCGAUUAUUUGUUUCUUGGGUUGAAACUUUGUAUAUGCUACAUGCUAAGCAUAUAUUUGAUCAUUGACAGAGAUUGUAACUCUUAAAAAAUUGGUACCCUUAAUUAUUUAUUAUGCACUCUAGCCUGCAAACGAACGAUUUUUAAGGUAUGUUGUGUUUGCAAAUGACUUUUCGUAAUUGAACAGAAGUGGACCAAUGUAUGUAUAUCUAGCCUGCUACAAGAUUUCCUAUAUAUUUUUUCUUUUUUAAGCUCUAACUACAUAAAAUUAGUGGGUAAUUAUCAUGGAUAUCCACUUAGGAAUGCAAAAUCACCUUCAAAAACAUUCGUUGUCGCCACCAAAGAGCUUUCACAUUUCAGCAGGCUUGGGAGCUUAUGCUGCUUUAUUUGUUCCUUGGACGUCUAAACGACUCAUGAAUGUCUAUGGUUCCAAGGUGACCCUGCAUUUAAAUUUUUCACAAGGAGAUGCGGCUACUAGAUAAGUGAGAUUGCAGGGAUAAAGAACUUAGGGCAACAAGAAUCAAUAAAUUUCCUCCAUGAAUACAUUGAAGAGGAUGCACCUACAAAAAGACAUAUCCGUGUAAGUAAACUUGAAGAGUGGUCAUACGAGUUUGAUAUUUUUGAAGCUAUGUCUACAUGGGAGCAGGUGAGAUUAUUGAAAAGCAUAAAUGGGUACAUAUAAUUCAUGAUUUCAUGUAUCCGUCCGGGUAUACAUACCUAAGUUCUUAAAUGGCGAUGGAAAAUUACAUACCAAUUUAUCCAUGUUGAUUGCUUUAACAUGUCUAGGAAGCCUAGAGAUUGAGACAAAUGGAAAAAUACAUACCAAUUGAUCCAUGUUGAUUGCUUUAACACGUUUAAGGCCUAGAGAGUGAGACUGUGAGAGACUGAGAUAAAUGGAGAGAAACAUUACGGAUUAGUUUAGUCCAUCUCAUACUUAUAAAUAUAACCAUAACAAGAUGUAGAUAGAGUUCAGGAAAUGAACUUGGCAUAAAUGUUUUUUGUUGGAACUCAUUUUACGGAUGCUUGCAGUAAGACAUCCAAUUUAGGCACAUGGUUUUGAAGGACAUGGUGGGGAAACACAUUGCUCCAAGGGACAAAUCAAUAUGUUUUGAGAUUAAUAUCAUGCCAUUUCUGCUGCAGACGUUCUUGAAGGGAUGAAUCAGUUGAGCAUUCCUACUGAGGCAUCUCAAUAUGGUGUUUUAGAAUUUUUGCAAAUAAAUUACAAUGAUGGUAAGUGUUGGCAGGGUCAUUUCAAUUAAUUCUCUUAGAUAUCGGCCUGUGGCAAAAGAUUAGUCGUCACAACUCACAAGCAAAAACAUUAUGUUUGACAAAAAAUGUAAAAUUUUAUGAAGUAUCAAAUAUUCAGUGAUAUACAUUUUCGCAGCUACAACUAUCUGAUCUGCAAAUACUACAUUUUGA